rnacentral:rRNA from 1 species
CUGUGCAAAGGUAGCAUAAUCAUUAGUCUUUUAAUUGAAGGCUUGUAUGAAGGGUCUGACAAAGAAAAAGCUGUCUUUAAUUUUAUUUUUGAAUUUAACUUUUAAGUGAAAAGGCUUAAAUAAAUUUAAGGGACGAUAAGACCCUAUAAAUCUUUAUAUUAAAUUAUUUUCUUGAAUUUUAAUAGUUUGUCUAGAAUUGUCAAGUAAAACAAUAAAUAUUUUGUUGGGGUGACAAGAAUAUAAAAAUAACUGUUCUUUAAAAAAACAAAGUUGUUUGUAAUAAAAAUUUGUAGAUCCUUUUUUUAAGAUUAAAAGUUUAAGUUACUUUAGGGAUAACAGCGUUAUUUUUUUUGAGAGUUCUUAUCGAAAGAAAAGUUUGCGACCUCGAUGUUGAAUUAAAAUUUCUCUACGGUGUAGAAGUUGUAUGAGAGAGUCUGUUCGACUUUUGAAAUUUU